rnacentral:tRNA from 1 species
GGGCAGUUAGCUCAGCGGUAGAGCGCUUGAUUCACAUUCAAGAGGCCACUGGUUCAAAUCCAGUACUGCCCACCA